UGCAAUGAUCAGCUUGAUCAGCUGCACAUGCAGCAUUCAUGGCAUCCAACAGAGACAUCUGAUCUUGUGGUCUAUGAUCAUAUACUUUCCACCUCCAUGCUGAAAAAACUCUUCUACUGGAUUUAGGAAUGGAGAGUAUGGUGGAAGGAACUCCACUGUUAUCCUUUCAUGUGCAGCAAACCAGUCCCUAACAAUGCUGGUUCGGUGGAAGCUGACAUUAUCCCAGACAACAACAUAAUUAGGCAAAUGUGGUCUAACUAAACCUCUUUCUUGUUCUGGAAUCAGGUCUCUAUAAAGUGUGUUUAGGAAGGCCAGGAGAAGUUGGGUAUUAUAGGGCCCAAUGUGUGGAAUAUGUGUGCUCACACCAUUCUCUGAAAUGGCAGCACACAUUGUAAUAUUGGCCCCACGUUGGCCUGGUGUGUCAGUUGUGGCUCGGUGUCCAAUGAGAUUGCGACCACGUCUCCGGCCUUUGGACAGAUUGAACCCGUCCACAAAAACAAGAAUGUGGGUUGUUUCAUGUACUUCUAACUCCAUGAUUCUGUACGAAGAAACAAAAUAGUUCAUUUUUAUUCUAGAGUUCAGUAAAUGUUUUCUCUUCUUAUGGGUUUCUAAAACUUCAAGUAAUACAGGCAUCUUAGAAGUACAGUAAAACUCACUAAGUGCACACCAAUAGUUUACCUGGCCAUACUGGUACCGCAGCUCCUUCACUCUUUCACUAUUCCUCUCAAAUGGCACCUUGUAGUGUUGUUUCAUAGUCAUUUGAUGUCUUUUCAAAACUCUGUCUAUGGUGGAAAUGCUGACAGAAUUUAUAUUUGCGAAGACAUUAUUGUCAUUUAUGAUUGCACUUUGGAUCUCUCUUAGCCUGAUGGAAUUGUUGGCUAUGACCAUGUUGCAAAUUUCUUGUUCUUGCUGAUGGUUAAAUACUGCUGCUCUGCCACGAGCGCGAGGUUGUUGUGCGGUUCUAUAGAAUGUACAAAUAGACUUGCAUUUACCUUUACAAUAUUGUUGUUUAUAAAAAUGCUUUACAUACUGUAAAACAAAAAAAAUAAAUACAUAUUUACCUGUUUUCCCUACGAAAGGUUUGCACAGUUGAUGACACUGUGGACCUGUUUACAUUAGGCUGUACUCUUCGACCAGCCUCUUCCAUUGUAAAACCACGAUUUAUGACAUGAUCCACAAGUGUGGCUCUGAUUUCAUCAGAGACUCUGACUCUUCUAUUUCCACCUCUUCCUCUAUUAUGUCUUCCUCUAACACCACCACCACGUAUUCUUACACGUCUUCCAAUUGCUCUUCCACGAGCAUGUUGCUGCAGUUCAGGGUUGUGGAAGUCCUCCAUUCUUAGUGAUUGUGCUGUGGGCAAUCUACAUAUAUAUGCUCCCAAACUUGAUUGGUUAAAUGGUUGAAUGGUUGUUUCAAAUUGUAUUGCAAUUAGAGGUUAUUUGCCAAUUUAGCAGACAUUACAAACAAUGUCAAUGUCAGAUAUUUAUGGAAUAUACAUGCGUGUAUACCAAUUUUUCAUAAUUGAAUGGAUCGUUU
rnacentral:lncRNA from 1 species